UUAUCAGCUUGGGUGUUUUAGAGAGCACCCAGUUCUGUGAUAUUUGACUCUUUAUUAAUUAUGUGUGGACCAAUAUAAAAAAUUGGUUUAUUUUAAAUCUUCCGGCCGCGCCCCACGCCAAGCAAGUUUUUUUCAAGAAAACACUUUGUGCAUUAAGCAAAUCAGUAAAGAUCUUCUUCCUGUUGGUGAACCUGCGGAAGGAUCAUUA
rnacentral:rRNA from 1 species